rnacentral:rRNA from 1 species
GGAUUAGAUACCCUGGUAGUCCACGCCGUAAACGAUGAGUACUAGUUGUUGGUAGGAUUGACCCUUUCAGUUACGUAGCUAACGCAUUAAGUACUCCGCCUGGGAAUUACGGUCGCAAGACUAAAACUCAAAGGAAUUGACGGGGGCCCGCACAAGCGGUGGAUUAUGUGGUUUAAUUCGAAGCAACGCGCAAAACCUUACCUGGGCUUGAAAUCCGACGAAUCUGCUAGAGAUAGCGGAGUGCCUUCGGGAAUGUCGUGACAGGUGCUGCAUGGCUGUCGUCAGCCGUGUCG